GUGUAUCUGACUGUGUGUGUGUGUAUCCGACUGUGUGUGUGUAUAUCUCACUGUGUGUGUGUGUGUGUGUGUAUCUGGCUGGCUGUGAUUGUAUCUGGCUGUGUUUGUGUCUGACUGUGUGUGUGUGUGUGUGUGUGUCUGUAUCUGACUGUGUGUGUGUAAGUGUGUAUCUGGCUGUUUGUGUCAGUGUGUGUUUAUAUGGCUGUGUUUGUGUCAGUGUACAUGUACCUUUUGUGUCAGUGUUUAUGUGUAUCUGUG